rnacentral:rRNA from 1 species
AGAGUUUGAUCCUGGCUCAGGACGAACGCUGGCGGCGUGCUUAACACAUGCAAGUCGAACGGGGUGUUUAUUUCGGUAAACACCAAGUGGCGAACGGGUGAGUAACGCGUAAGCAAUCUACCUUCAAGAUGGGGACAACACUUCGAAAGGGGUGCUAAUACCGAAUGAAUGUAAGAGUAUCGCAUGAGACACUUACUAAAGGAGGCCUCUGAAAAUGCUUCCGCUUGAAGAUGAGCUUGCGUCUGAUUAGCUAGUUGGUGAGGGUAAAGGCCCACCAAGGCGACGAUCAGUAGCCGGUCUGAGAGGAUGAACGGCCACAUUGGGACUGAGACACGGCCCAGACUCCUACGGGAGGCAGCAGUGGGGAAUCUUCCGCAAUGGGCGAAAGCCUGACGGAGCAACGCCGCGUGAACGAUGAAGGUCUUAGGAUCGUAAAGUUCUGUUGUUAGGGACGAAGGGUAAGAAUAAUAAUACGGUUUUUAUUUGACGGUACCUAACGAGGAAGCCACGGCUAACUACGUGCCAGCAGCCGCGGUAAUACGUAGGCGGCAAGCGUUGUCCGGAAUUAUUGGGCGUAAAGGGAGCGCAGGCGGGAAACUAAGCGGAUCUUAAAAGUGCGGGGCUCAACCCCGUGAUGGGGUCCGAACUGGUUUUCUUGAGUGCAGGAGAGGAAAGCGGAAUUCCCAGUGUAGCGGUGAAAUGCGUAGAUAUUGGGAAGAACACCAGUGGCGAAGGCGGCUUUCUGGACUGUAACUGACGCUGAGGCUCGAAAGCUAGGGUAGCGAACGGGAUUAGAUACCCCGGUAGUCCUAGCCGUAAACGAUGGAUACUAGGUGUGGGAGGUAUCGACCCCUUCCGUGCCGGAGUUAACGCAAUAAGUAUCCCGCCUGGGGAGUACGGCCGCAAGGUUGAAACUCAA